UUGACCUCGGAUCAGGUAGGAAUACCCGCUGAACUUAAGCAUGGCAAUAAGCGGAGGAA
rnacentral:rRNA from 1 species